UUUGUUUGCUUGUUUUUUGUUAAUACAUAGACAAACGUACAUGUCAAUAUACAAGCAAACGGCACGUAUACAUGCAAAAAGGAAAACUCGCUCUAUAGUAGAGGCAGGACAGUAAUGGGUCUUCAAAGGGUUUCUGGGUAUAGGUUUAGGAUAAAGGAAGCAAACUGUAUCGUUAAAAACAAGAUUACGAAGUACUAUUAAUAUUUUGAGAGUCUGUGUAGUGCGUAUUUCAUCUCCGGAAGAGUGAACCAGGAAGAGGCAGGAAGAGAAAGUGUUCUGGAGCCAUUGCUCCACCUGAAGCCAUUCAGACCACAUCAUUUGAGUUUUCUACAGGUGAUUGUGACCUGGUGCCACGAAAACAGAUGGAUGCGCUCAUCCUGCAAUACAACCAGCUAUUUAAUAACUAUGGAGCACUGAAACAACAAGCAAAGGCAACACAGGAAGAAGACAAACAACUGAAGGAGCAACUAGGGAGAUCAAACUUUGGGUUUGAUUCUAUUAAGGAUGAUGAUUCCAAAGUUCAAUUCUAUACAGGAUUGCAAGUUUUCAUUUGGCUGUUAAAUAUUGUUAAAAGAAGUGCUUCUAAGGGAUGUGUUGAAUUGGGAAGACUAUGGCUUAGUGGUAGAGUGUGUCAUCACCCAAUCAGAAGGUCGGCGGUUUGAUCCUGGUUUCCCCUAGCCCACAUAUUGAAGUGUCCUUGCUCCUGAGGGCUGUGUACGUGAAUGAGUUCCUUUUUUUUUAACUGAUGAGAAGUUGGCACCUGCCAUCAGUGUGUGAAUGUGAUUUGUAGUUGAAGCUUUGAGUAGUUGGAAAAGACUAGAAAGGCGCUAUAUAAGUAAAGUCCAUUUACCACCUGCUGAAGGUCAGACAUGGAUUCACUAACACAUACAUCGCACAAACUGAAACCUGCUCACAUCAGAAAAAUCUAAACAUUAUUAUCUAACUGUUAUAACAGCAGCAGGGGCUGUUUGUUUCUUAUCAGACGGAUUUGUAGGCCGUGCGUCCGGCAAGAUAAUAGCGUCAGAGUCUGGCUUUUUAGGAAAGCUUGAACAUGGCGAUGUUGCUGACAGGAGGUUGCUUGAGAGAGAAGAAUUGAAAGUGUUGGAGCAACAUUAAAAAACUCCCGUUUGACAAAAGCCUGGUUCCUGCUCCUGUCGGCUGUCAGGAGUCUGCAUUCGAAUGGAGUGAGUGAUCAGUUGCUUUAAAACCUUUCAGAUACUCAACACUGUGAUACCCUUCAGCCAGUUACAUCUCCUGGAUGACAUUGUAACACUGUGUGCAGGUCUCACCAACAUUAAGGCCGGCAUUCCAGUGACUGUCAAAGAAGAAAUGGAGGACAUGUGAUAAAUAUCGACAGGAAGACACAAGGAAAAGAAUCUUCUCAGGGAAGUGUUGGGACAUGUUGACAUGUUUUGCUGCGUACAGAGCUGUAUGUCUGCGUGCAUUGUCUUUUCACGUGUAAUGUGUUUUGCUCUUUGCUUUUUGUUGUUCAAUACAUCCUGUGCUUUUUUGUUAUUUUCCAAAUUCAACUCGUAAUAGGUUGCACAUUUCCACUGGACUGCAGUGUUGUAGAGCUUUAUGAUAAGAUUAUGGACAGAUAACUGUAAAAUGAUGCAGUUGAAAUGAUGCCAAAAUGUGUUUUUAUCUGUUUUUUACUUUUAAUCCUCAGGUAUUUCUGUCAUAUGAAACAAAAUGGAUUCUUAUUUGGAUUUGUUAACACCAGGUGUCAUUGGUAGUUUAAAAGGUGGUUAUUAGUGAUCAAGUGUAAUUGGUGGUCAUCACAGUAAAAUGCUUUUAAGAUGGCAUGAGGCUCUGCUUUCACUCAUAUCCAUAUUUCUAUUCUUUGGGGAAUCUAAAAACGCAUGUAAUGUUUACAGCAGUCAGGGAACAUUACCAUUUGCCAAAAUGAGACCCUUUGCAUAACAGGCAUUUGAUGAAGGAGAUGAUCCAUGACUACAUGUAUGACUAUACUGUGGCUGAAAAUCAUCCAUUUUGAGUGUUCAGUUCAUAAGAAACAGUAAACAUGUAACAUUAAAAUUUUUAGUAAAUGA